rnacentral:rRNA from 1 species
CCAGUAGUCAUAUGCUUGUCUCAAAGAUUAAGCCAUGCAUGUCUAAGUUCACACUGUCUCACGGUGAAACCGCGAAUGGCUCAUUAAAUCAGUCGAUGUUUAUUAGAUGAAAACUAUCCUACUUGGAUAACUGUGGCAAUUCUAGAGCUAAUACAUGCUUACCAAGCUCCGACCCUCGUGGAAAGAGCGCUUUUAUUAGUUCAAAACCAAUCGCCGUUGCCCUUCGCGGGGCGCGGCGUCCCGAUUGGUGACUCUGGAUAACUUUGUGCUGAUCGCAUGGCCCUAGUGCUGGCGACGCAUCUUUCAAAUGUCUGCCCUAUCAAAUGUCUAUGGUACGUGAUAUGCCUACCAUGUUUGUAACGGGUAACGGGGAAUCAGGGUUCGA